CACGUAGGGCGCGAGCGUUGUCCGGAAUUAUUGGGCGUAAAGAGCUCGUAGGCGGCCUGUUGCGUCCGCUGUGAAAGCCCGGGGCUUAACCCCGGGUCGGCAGUGGAUACGGGCAGGCUAGAGGUAGGUAGGGGAGAAUGGAAUUCCCGGUGUAGCGGUGAAAUGCGCAGAUAUCGGGAGGAACACCGGUGGCGAAGGCGGUUCUCUGGGCCUUACCUGACGCUGAGGAGCGAAAGCGUGGGGAGCGAUCAGG
rnacentral:rRNA from 1 species